AAGUAUAAGCAACUUGUACUGUGAAACUGCGAAUGGCUCAUUAAAUCAGUUAUCGUUUAUUUGAUAGUACCUUACUACAUGGAUACCUGUGGUAAUUCUAGAGCUAAUACAUGCUAAAAACCCCGACUUCAGGAAGGGGUGUAUUUAUUAGAUAAAAAACCAACGCCCUUCGGGCUCCUUGGUGAAUCAUAAUAACUUAACGAAUCGCAUGGCCUUGCGCCGGCGAUGGUUCAUUCAAAUUUCUGCCCUAUCAACUUUCGAUGGUAGGAUAGUGGCCUACCAUGGUGGCAACGGGUAACGGGGAAUUAGGGUUCGAUUCCGGAGAGGGAGCCUGAGAAACGGCUACCACAUCCAAGGAAGGCAGCAGGCGCGC
rnacentral:rRNA from 1 species